CACCACUAGCCUCCAUCAUGAGAGCUCACUGGAGGGAACCAGCCAGCAAAUAAAAGAGAGCUCAAGAUGAAGGGGGAAUUUCAUUAAGAUGCUGCUAUCAAUAGGAAUGUUAAUGUUGUCUGCCACUCAGAUUUAUACUAUUCUCACAGUUCAGCUGUUUGCUUUUUUAAACCUAUUGCCAGUAGAAGCUGACAUCUUAGCGUUUAAUUUUGAAAAUGCAACACAGACAUUUGAUGACUUACCAGCAAGAUUUGGUUACAGGUUACCUACUGAAGGUUUGAAGG